rnacentral:hammerhead_ribozyme from 1 species
GCACUGCUGAGGAGUCCCACCAUAAGACGAAACGGUAUUCCAGUGC